AAUUCUACUCUUGAAAUUUUUUUAUUUUCCUUUUUUUUGUUGAAUAGCUGACUUUAGGUCAAACCUGUUAGAGAUUGAUUACAUUUUGUAAGGAUUUUUUUUUGGAUGGUUUCAAUAAUCUUCUUCGUCGUAAGAUCUUGAAACAUGCAGUGAGUAGGGAAAAAGGUUGUUAAAAGACAUGUUGGUAACUGUUCAAAGCAUGAGUGAUUUGACUAACUGAAAGCAAAUUAAAAGACAUGUUGGUAAAGCUCAAGACAGAUGAUAACGGGAGAUGAGGAAUUGGAUUAGCAGUGCUAGUCCCAAGCACCUUAGAUGUGGAUGGAGAAAAUUGGAAGGUAGAUAGGGGCUAGAGUUUUACCUGUCAUAUGAUUCGUGGCACAGCCGAAUCAAUAACCCAUUUGGAAGCUGAAGAGACUAGGCAAGUAUUGGGAUUACAUGAAGUUGCAACAACUACAAUUGAGGCAGUUGAUGAAGAUUCUUAUUCAGAAUCACCCCUAAACUUGCAGACCGGUUGACCAGCGACUCCUCUGGUGCGGGCAGUGGCUACAAAUGGCCCGCAAAAAACCCGACUCGAACUUCUUGCCGUGCGCACAGAAAAGGAAGAGGAAAAAAAUACGGAUUUUUUUUUUUUCUCAAACCUGAAGCUCUUGAUAGUUGAUACCAUGUAAGUCUAAGAGAAAUCUGUAUUUCACACACCACGAAGACAAAGGAAUGCACACAUAUAUAAGGAAAUCAAUCCCUAAGGUCCUGCUACUAGUGACUAAAUAUAUGCCCUACCAUGUAUAAUGUCUAACACUGACAAUGUGAUCUAGCAUAUAAUUACAGAUACUCAUGUAUGCACCUGCAAUUUUCAAGAUACGAAAGAAGCAUGUGCAGCCUGAAGAGAGCUAAUUAUCCCAUAUUCCAUCAAUCCCAUUUUGCAAUUAUUGAUCCUAUCUCCCCUAGGCAUGCGUAGGAGAGUGCCAUAAUUAUCUUCUAUUUUAUUGCUAUACAGAUGUGUUAAGAAUAUAAAACAAA